UACGAAGGGGGCUAGCGUUGCUCGGAAUGACUGGGCGUAAAGGGCGCGUAGGCGGCCAACUAAGUCAGACGUGAAAUCCCUCGGCUUAACCGGGGAACUGCAUCCGAUACUGGAUGGCUUGAAUCCGGGAGAGGGAUGCGGAAUUCCAGGUGUAGCGGUGAAAUGCGUAGAUAUCUGGAGGAACACCGGUGGCGAAGGCGGCAUCCUGGACCGGCAUUGACGCUGAGGAGCGAAAGCCAGGGGGAGCAAAC
rnacentral:rRNA from 1 species